UACGGGGGGGGCAAGCGUUGUUCGGAAUUACUGGGCGUAAAGGGCUCGUAGGCGGCCAACUAAGUCAGACGUGAAAUCCCUCGGCUUAACCGGGGAACUGCGUCUGAUACUGGAUGGCUUGAGUUUGGGAGAGGGAUGCGGAAUUCCAGGUGUAGCGGUGAAAUGCGUAGAUAUCUGGAGGAACACCGGUGGCGAAGGCGGCAUCCUGGACCAACACUGACGCUGAGGCGCGAAAGCCAGGGGGAGCAAACGGG
rnacentral:rRNA from 1 species